UUAAGAUAAUCUGGAAAUUCAAAGUAUAGUGGGUCGAAGAACUGUGUUCUAUAAAUAUGUGCAUGUAGACAGUGAUCCAUGACACUGAUGCUUCCAUUUAUUGCAAUAUUUGAUAAGAGCGAGCAUAAAAUUAAUAUAAAAACUGCGGAAAACAGUUGUGGAUCGUCAAAAUAGUUCAAAAUGUUGAAGCUACUACUGCUUUCAUUCAUCAGCGUUGCUAUAGUUUAUUUCUGUAACGGAGCAAAGGAGGCAGUUAAACCGAAUGAACUGCAAUUCAGACAAGGGAUCAACUUGGGAAAUUUUGUGUCUGGUGCUUUAUUUUGUAUAUACGUGGGUAUUAUAAACGCCGUCAAUAUAAAUACGCCGGGAAUUAUUGAACAACUUGGUCAAGCUUUACUAGACGCGGGCCUUUGCUUAAAUCUAAACUUAGAGAAUGGGGUAAAUGAACUCGUUACGGAAAUGCUAUUUUGUAUCCAGAAUUUAGUAAAUGGAACUAUAUGGCAAUUGAGUGUCGUCCUUGCCAGACUAGAACCGAUUCUUCAGAAUAUAGAACUUAGCGUCCAAUGUACUGAAAAUAUGGUCAUAUAUUUAUGUUCAGAGAUGUGCGUAGCUAUGCCACUACUGUGCCUAGAAAUAGGGGAUUUAAAUCUCUUUGAGUUUCUUUUGAGGCCGGUAAUGAAAAUAGUUUGCGAUCUCUUACAAUAAACGAAACGUUCGCUUUUUUUUUGUAUCUACUAUGUUUUGCUAUUGGUAAAUUAUUUUUAUAAUUUAAUAUGUAAAGUUGUUA